GGCUUGGUAUGGAAGGAGACAAAUGAUUCCUGAGUUUGCUCUGAUCGCCUCUGGCUCCCAAGUGCUGGGAUUAACACUGCACCACUACGCUCAGCAACGCCACACUCGUCCUGAAGCUAGCUAUGAUUGUCAAGAGCAUCAUGGUGACAUCUCGAGUUAGGCUGCCUUAUGCAGUUUUUUUUAUCUUCAGGCUAGCCUCAAAUUUGUACACUGCUAAGAAGAGCCUCGACCUUUGAUAUUCCUGCUUCCCCCUCUCAAGUGCCGGGAUUACAAGUGUCCACGAUCAUGCCUGGCUUCCUGUGCUGCUGAAGAUCAAACCCAAGGCUUCUCAGAUGUUACACAUUCUACCAGCUCAGGCUCUACCUGCACACUCUCGACUCUGCUGCCUCAGUUCCCUAGUACGGAGGUUACAGCAAAGAACAAGCCUAUCAGCGUUAUACAGCUAAUCGUGAAGAACGGAUGGUUCCACAGUGACGUGAGGAAGGACACCUGCAAAACAGAGUGGGAGAUACAGUCUCAGGACACCGAGCCCUACUCCCUACUGUACAGAAAUGUAUGAUGCUUUACCAUCUAAACGACAACCACCCUAGUUCUCUUUACUGUGCCGUGAAAACAAAACUCACACUUUAUCUUUUUAGUACAGUAAGAUAACGGCAAUACAUGUCAUUCGUGCCAAACCCUAAAUCAUUUCAAAUUCAUUCACACACAUGCGCACACGUGCACGUACACACACACAGAGAGAGAGAGAGAGAGAGAGAGAGAGAGAGAGAGAGAGAGAGAGAGAGAGAGGAGAGAGCACACAUACAAGAAAGGGGGUUUCUCUGUGUAGCCCUGGCUGUCCUUGGCUUUACUUUUGUAGAACAAGCUGGCCUUGAAUUCAGUGAUCACCUGCCUCUGUAGAAUUAAAGGAGUAGCAAUGGCCUUUAGUCUCAAUGAAAACAUGGAUUAAAUUUGAUUUACUUAUCUCCCUGUCAAAAAGCUUCCUCAAGGUAUACACCUUUAAUUUCAACACUCAGAAGGUAGAGAAAGCUAGAUCUCUGUGAGUUUAAGGCCAGCCUGGUCUAUAUAGGUAGUUCUAGAAUAGCUGCAUGGUGAGACAAUGUCUCAACAAAAGCUUCCUUAAGAGAACUGGAUCUGCUCUGUCAUUCAUAACCUGGUCACACACUAAUCAUCCUCUCCUGCCCCAUCCUCCACACAUAAGCUACCUUCCUUGUUAGCCUAAUUUUUACAGCUUCCCUACGACCUUUGCUUAAAAUAAAUAAAUGAAGCUUAUUUGAAUUUUUUAAAAACAUAUUUUUAAAGGUAUUUGAAUAAAAUGAGGUAAAA